CCUACGGGAGGCAGCAGUGAGGAAUAUUGGUCAAUGGACGAGAGCCUGAACCAGCCAAGUAGCGUGAAGGAUGACUGCCCUAUGGGUUGUAAACUUCUUUUAUAUAGGAAUAAAACAGGGUAUGCAUACCCUCUUGUAUGUACCAUAUGAAUAAGGAUCGGCUAACUCCGUGCCAGCAGCCGCGGUAAUACGGAGGAUCCGAGCGUUAUCCGGAUUUAUUGGGUUUAAAGGGAGCGUAGAUGGAUUGUUAAGUCAGUUGUGAAAGUUUGCGGCUCAACCGUAAAAUUGCAGUUGAUACUGGCAGUCUUGAGUACAGUAGAGGUGGGCGGAAGUCGUGGUGUAGCGGUGAAAUGCUUAGAUAUCACGAAGAACUCCGAUUGCGAAGGCAGCUCACUGGACUGCAACUGACACUGAUGCUCGAAAGUGUGGGUAUCAAACAGGAUUAGAUACCCGGGUAGUC
rnacentral:rRNA from 1 species